rnacentral:rRNA from 1 species
AAAACCGACACAGGUGGAUGAGGAGAGGAUCCUAAGGCCGGCGGGAGAAGUGUUGUUAAGGAACUCGGCAAAAUGACUCCGUAACUUCGGGAGAAGGAGUGCUGCGCAAGCAGCCGCAGAGAAAUGACCCAAGCAACUGUUUAGCAAAAACACAGGUCUAUGCGAAACCGGAAGGUGAGGUAUAUGGGCUGACGCCUGCCCGGUGCUGGAAGGUUAAGGGGAGAGCUUAGCGCAAGCGAAGGUUUGAACUUAAGCCCCAGUAAACGGCGGCCGUAACUAUAACGGUCCUAAGGUAGCGAAAUUCCUUGUCGGGUAAGUUCCGACCCGCACGAAAGGCGUAAUGAUUUGGGCACUGUCUCAACAACACACCCGGUGAAAUUGAAAUACCAGUGAAGAUGCUGGUUACCCGCGCCAGGACGGAAAGACCCCAUGGAGCUUUACUCCAGCCUGAUACUGGGAUUCGGUAUUGCAUGUACAGGAUAGGUGGGAGGCUAAGAACUCAUGGCGCCAGCCGUGAGGGAGCCGGUGUUGGGAUACCACCCCUGCAGUACUGGGUUUCUAACCUGCGCCCGUGACCCGGGCGGGGGACAAUGUCAGGCGGGGAGUUUGACUGGGGCGGUCGCCUCCGAAAGGGUAUCGGAGGCGCUCAAAGGUCUCCUCAGGAUGGUUGGAAACCAUCCAGAGAGUGCAAAGGCAGAAGGAGGCUUGACUGCGACACCGACGGGUGGAGCAGGUACGAAAGUAGGACUUAGUGAUCCGGUGGCAUAAAGUGGGAUUGCCAUCGCUCAACGGAUAAAAGCUACCCUGGGAUAACAGGCUUAUCACUCCCAAGAGUUCACAUCGACGGAGUGGUUUGGCACCUCGAUGUCGGCUCAUCGCAUCCUGGAGCUGGAGCAGGUUCCAAGGGUUGGGCUGUUCGCCCAUUAAAGCGGUACGCGAGCUGGGUUCAGAACGUCGUGAGACAGUUCGGUCCCUAUCCGGCGCGGGCGCAGGAUAUCUGAGAGGAGCUGUCCUUAGUACGAGAGGACCGGGAUGGACCGUCCGCUGGUGGACCGGUUGUCAUGCCAAUGGCACGGCCGGGUAGCCAAGACGGGAAGGGAUAAACGCUGAAGGCAUCUAAGCGUGAAGCCCCCCUCAAGAUGAGAUAUCCAUACUCGAAAGAGUGAGAGACCCCUUAGAGACGAUGAGGUAGAUAGGGCAGGGAUGGAAGCACAGCGAUGUGUGGAGUUGACUGUUACUAAUCGGUCGAUAGCUCG